GUGCCAGCAGCCGCGGUAAUACGUAGGGUGCGAGCGUUAAUCGGAAUUACUGGGCGUAAAGAGUGCGUAGGCGGUUGCUGAAGUCUGCUGUGAAAGCCCCGGGCUCAACCUGGGAAUGGCAGUGGAAACUAGGCGACUUGAAUCUGGCAGAGGGGGGUGGAAUGCCACGUGUAGCAGUGAAAUGCGUAGAGAUGUGGCGGAACACCGAUGGCGAAGGCAGCCCCCUGGGCUGAGAUUGACGCUCAGGCACGAAAGCGUGGGGAGCAAACAGGAUUAGAUACCCUGGUAGUCC
rnacentral:rRNA from 1 species